AGUGAACGCUGGCGGUAGGCCUAACACAUGCAAGUCGAACGGCAGCACAGUAAGAGCUUGCUCUUACGGGUGGCGAGUGGCGGACGGGUGAGGAAUACAUCGGAAUCUACUUUUUCGUGGGGGAUAACGUAGGGAAACUUACACUAAUACCGCAUACGACCUACGGGUGAAAGCAGGGGAUCUUCGGACCUUGCGCGAUUGAAUGAGCCGAUGUCGGGUUAGCUAGUUGGCGGGGUAAAGGCCCACCAAGGCGACGAUCCGUAGCUGGUCUGAGAGGAUGAUCAGCCACACUGGAACUGAGACACGGUCCAGACUCCUACGGGAGGCAGCAGUGGGGAAUAUUGGACAAUGGGCGCAAGCCUGAUCCAGCCAUACCGCGUGGGUGAAGAAGGCCUUCGGGUUGUAAAGCCCUUUUGUUGGGAAAGAAAAGCAGCAGGUUAAUACCCCGCUGUUCUGACGGUACCCAAAGAAUAAGCACCGGCUAACUUCGUG
rnacentral:rRNA from 1 species